GAUUUAGCAUGGUAGAUUUGCAAUCCCGAAUGGUGCUCUAGAUAACGAAAUAAACCUUUAUGUGCAGAAAUCGUUAGAAGCUCUUUCGAUUUUUCAUCUAAACAUAUCUGCUGGUAAGCAUUAGAUAAAUCCAAUUUUGUAAAAUGUAACCCCCCGUUUAAUUUUGUAAACAAGUCUUCAAUUUUAGGUAAAGGAUAUGAAUCAAUUUCUAUUAAAGGAUUUACGGUGACUUUAAAAUCACCACAAAUUCGAACAGACCAAUUUUUUUUAAUACAGGAACAAUAGGCGUACCCCAA
rnacentral:lncRNA from 1 species